AUUGAACGCUGGCGGCAUGCCUUACACAUGCAAGUCGAACGGUAACAGGUUAAGCUGACGAGUGGCGAACGGGUGAGUAAUGUAUCGGAACGUGCCCAGUCGUGGGGGAUAACUGCUCGAAAGAGCAGCUAAUACCGCAUACGACCUGAGGGUGAAAGCGGGGGAUCGCAAGACCUCGCGCGAUUGGAGCGGCCGAUAUCAGAUUAGGUAGUUGGUGAGGUAAAGGCUCACCAAGCCGACGAUCUGUAGCUGGUCUGAGAGGACGACCAGCCACACUAGGACUGAGACACGGCCCAGACUCCUACGGGAGGCAGCAGUGGGGAAUUUUGGACAAUGGGCGCAAGCCUGAUCCAGCCAUGCCGCGUGCGGGAAGAAGGCCUUCGGGUUGUAAACCGCUUUUGUUAGGGAAGAAAAGGUUCUGGCUAAUACCUGGGACUCAUGACGGUACCUGAAGAAUAAGCACCGGCUAACUACGUG
rnacentral:rRNA from 1 species